AUUCUUAACUUAAGGGUGGGCAGGGCUACUCUAAAAUUACAUGUAGUCACAACAUCCUGUUUAUGUGACAGGAAUGAAUUAGUUAGGUAAAAAUAUUACAUUAUCCACAGAUUUCCACCAAAUCUCUCAUAACACAUAAUUUAUCAACUCAGCUUAUAUAACAAUGUUUGUACAACUGAUUGUAGUUGUAUCAUUAUUAAUUUAUUAUGACAUAUUUGCAUCGUAUCACAUAAUGCAUGUCAACUUAUAGAAAUUGCUUUGGGGCGUAUUAUUGCUUUUGGAAGGUUUAAAUGUGAUUUUGAAAAGUUAAAAAUUAAUUUAAG
rnacentral:lncRNA from 1 species